UAAAUACUCCCUCCGUCCGACAAUACUUGUCAUCAAAAUGGAUAAAAAGAGAUGUAUCUAAAAUUAAAAUACAUCUAGAUACAUUUCCUUUUAUCCAUUUUGAUGACAAGUAUUUUCGGACGGAGGGAGUAUUUU
rnacentral:pre_miRNA from 1 species